AUAGUUAAAAACAACCAAGAUCUAUAAAGUUUAUUAUUUAUAAAUAGUAAAUUGCUGCUUGCAAGUUAAUCAUGUAUUCAUGGUCCAGAGUUAGAGACAAAAACAUAUCCCAAAAAUACUGCUGCAUCUAAAAGGAAAUGUUUCUUGAACAGGUAAUUACAGCUGCUUGAUUUCUUUACUGCAUAUUUUCAAAUUUCUCAGUCAGUUAAUAGUAACAGUUAAGCAUUUUUGCUCAAUUCGCAAAACACUAAGAGUAAAAUUGCCUAUUUUUUGGCCCACAUGUGUCUGCUUUCCAUUCAGCUUUUCUGUUAGUUUGGGUUGAUGUGUGGGUUUUUCUGUGAUGGAUGUAUUUUUAUGUAUGCUUGAUCUUGCAUAGAAACUCAAUAUAGCUUUACGACAUGCCAUCCAAAAAAUAUAAGUUGGUGAUAUCCUGUUCAUAACAGUAUUCUCUUCAGUAUUGAGUGAAUAAAACAACAGAAAUCGAGGAGUGAGGCAGUGAAGAGGGAUAGAGACAACACUGAAUGUAUUAACAGACCAGCAAGUUAUGGAGGGUUGUUUUUAAUCCCUUUGCCUGGUUUCAUUAGAGUGUGCUGUCAUUCGUCCUUGAUCACUGGUUGUCAUGGAGGGUAUAAGCCAAUCGGCUCUGUUCCAUUCUCCAACAUGCUGGGAUCUUAAUGGAAUGAUUCACUCAGAGAGAGACAGACAGACAGAGAGAGUGAGAGACAGUCACCGACAGAAAGGUUGCAGAACUCGCAGAACCCCUCUGGGUGACACUGAGAUAGUAAGAUGGGUGUGUGGCAUCACAGCAUGGCCUUAAUGGCCUCGACUGUUGUGAAGUGUGCAAUCAGACAGAGUUGAAUACAUUUCCUUCACGGGUCGUGAAACAAAUCUGUCCUGUGUCUCCCAGUGGUUCCUGACAUUAACCAGCUUUGAUUAUUCUGAUCUUCAAACACCAUUUAAACCAAGCUGGAGAAACAUGGACGUUUUCACACCAGACCAAGAAAACAAAUGAUACAUUUGAAGAAUACUGACCUCUAGCCUCAUCAGUGACAUCAGCACUCUGUACCUCACACAAAGCCUUUCCUAUGCAAAGGGCAGCUGCUGCACCCAUACAGAUGUCAACCUCCGUUGGACUGAUCCAAAGCCUCUGGGGUCUCAUUUAUAACCGUUGCAUAUGCACAACACCAGGCCUGAAAGAGUGAGCUAUAGACAUGCUGUAUGGUGAGCUUGACACUGAUUCCAGACCUGCAGGAAGGCCUGUUCUCCAUUACAAGGAUGUCUGUAAAUGAGACCUGACGGCAUGCGACAUCAACCCAGCAGGCCGGGAAGCUGUAGCUGCAGACUGCAACAGAUGGAGGCUCACCGUCACGUCAGGCAUCCAUAAGAGCGAAAUUGGAGAGAGGACCCGUAGGAAGAAAGAAGAGAGCGCAGACGACAAAAGACAGAAUCAGCACCCACAGAGUCAGGCACGGACUACACCUGCAGAAACUGCCGCUCUUUUUGUAUGAGCUGUACACACUUCCAAUUAACAUUGGGCCUAUCCAUCAACAAGGAGAGCCCAUUCUUAAGCAAAGUUCCUUUGUACACUCCUGCAAAUGUGAAAAAUAUAGAUGCUAUUUUAAAAAAAAAGCCAACUUCUUUCUAAUACAAGUAAAAAGGAUUUGUCUCAAUUUGGUGGUGAAGGGUUUCUGAAAUGAUUUGAAAGCCUUACGUCAAAACUUAACCAAAGAGGGACACAUCCACUACAUGUGAAGGAGUGAGGCAGGUGCACUUCUACAUUUAUCAAAUGUAGAGUCAACAUCAGGGUACAUCCGAGCUCAUUUGGUUUUAGAUAUGUGGAUACAAUGAACUACCUUAAAUUGCAAGAGUGCAUGUCAGGCGCACAUGGAGUAAGAGUGUAUCCAA